UACGGAGGGUGCGAGCGUUGUCCGGAAUCAUUGGGCGUAAAGGGCGCGUAGGUGGCGCGGUAAGCGUGCGGUGAAAGCCUGGGGCUCAACCCCGGGUCGGCCGUGCGAACUGCUGGGCUUGAGCACUGUAGAGGCAGGCGGAAUUCCGGGUGUAGCGGUGGAAUGCGUAGAGAUCCGGAAGAACACCGGUGGCGAAGGCGGCACUCUGGGCCGGUACUGACGCUGAGGAGCGAAAGCGUGGGGAGCAAACAGG
rnacentral:rRNA from 1 species